GGUUAAAUUAAUAAGGGCGCAUGGUGGAUGCCUUGGCAUUAGAAGACGAUGAAGGACGUGGCAAACUACGAUAUGCUUCGGGUAGAUGUAAGCAAUCUUUGAUCCGAAGAUCUCCGAAUGAGGAAACUCAAUAACGGCAAACCGUUAUUAUCAUAUAAUGAAUUCAUAGUUAUAUGAGGACAACCCAGUGAACUGAAACAUCUUAGUAACUGGAGGAAAAGAAAGAAAAAUUCGAUUACCUUAGUAGUGGCGAGCGAAACGGUAAUAGCCCAAACCAGUCUUAGGACUGGGGUUGUAGGACAUCACAAUUAAGAAGUUACAAAGUUACAACAUAGCAGAAUAUUCUGGAAAGAAUAUCCAUAGAAGGUGAUAGACCUGUAUGCGAAAUGUUGUGACCUUCGUGAUGUAUCCUGAGUAAGUCGGGACACGUGUAAUCUUGACUGAAUCUGUGGGGACCAUCCCAUAAGGCUAAAUACUCUCUAAUGACCGAUAGUGAACAAGUACCGUGAGGGAAAGGUGAAAAGAACCCCGGGAGGGGAGUGAAAUAGAUAUUCUGAAACCGUGUGCUUACAAAAAGUUCGAGCCCGUUAAUGGGUGAGAGCGUGCCUUUUGCAGAAUGAGCCGGCGAGUUACGUUAUCAUGCGAGGUUAAGAAGAAGAUUCGGAGCCGUAGCGAAAGCGAGUCUUAAUAGGGCGUUUAGUAUGAUGAUGUAGACCCGAAACCGAGUGAUCUAUCCAUGAGCAGGUUGAAGUUGGGGUGAUACCUAAUGGAGGACCGAACCCACGUGUGUUGCAAAACGCGGGGAUGACUUGUGGAUAGCGGAGAAAUUCCAAUCGAACUCGGAUAUAGCUGGUUCUCCCCGAAAUAGGUUUAGGCCUAGCCUUCUAAUUAGCUACCUGGAGGUAGAGCACUGAAUACGGAAUGGCCGCGUCUAGCGGUACUGACUGUAAUCAAACUCCGAAUGCCAGGCUAGUAUGUAGAGGAGUCAGUGUAUGGGUGAUAACGUCCAUACGCGAGAGGAAAUGAAUCCUGACCAUCGGUUAAGGUCCCAAAGUUUAUGCUAAGUGGAAAAUGAUGUGGAGUCGCAUGAACAGCUAGGAGGUUGGCUUAGAAGCAGCCAUCCUUUAAAGAGUGCGUAAUAGCUCACUAGUCGAGUGGCUCUGCGCAGAACAUGUACCGGGGCUUAAGCAUAACACCGAAACUGUGGAUGUUAGUUUUUAAUUAACAUGGUAGGGGAGCGUUCUAAGGGCGUUGAAGAUAGAUCGUGAGGACUAUUGGAGCGCUUAGAAGUGAGAAUGCCGGCGUGAGUAACGUAAGGAAGGUGAGAAUCCUUCC
rnacentral:ncRNA from 1 species